UACAGAGGGUGCUAGCGUUGUUCGGAAUUACUGGGCGUAAAGGGCUUGUAGGUGGCCAACUAAGUCAGACGUGAAAUCCCUCGGCUUAACCGGGGAACUGCGUCUGAUACUGGAUGGCUUGAGUGUGGGAGAGGGAUGCGGAAUUCCAGGUGUAGCGGUGAAAUGCGUAGAUAUCUGGAGGAACACCCGUGGCGAAGGCGGCCCCCUGGGCCGUACCUGACGCUGAGGCGCGAAGGCUAGGGGAGCGAACGGG
rnacentral:rRNA from 1 species